AAGUGCUGCCAUACCACCCUGAAUGCACCCGAUCUCGUUUGAUCUUGGAAGCUAAGCAGGGUCGGGUCUGGUUAGGACUUGGAUGGGAGAAAGUGCUACCCUGUAUUAUGGAUGAAACUUU
rnacentral:rRNA from 1 species